rnacentral:rRNA from 1 species
GGGGAAGGUUGGUCGGAUCAUUGGGCGUAAGAGCGUGUAGGCGGCCACUUAAGUCCUGCGUGAAAUCCUGCGGCUCAACCGCAGGCGGUCGUGGGAAACUGGGUGGCUAGAGUGCGGGAGAGGAGAGUGGAAUUCCUGGUGUAGCGGUGGAAUGCGCAGAUAUCUGCAGGAACACCCGUGGCGAAGGCGGCUGACUGGAUCGCAACUGACACUGAGGAACGAAAGCUAGGGGAGCAAACAGGAUUAGAUACCCUGGUAGUCCUAGCCCUAAACCAUCAGAACUUGGGGUAGCCCGCGUAGGCGGGUUGUCCCGUAGCUAACGCGUUAAGUUCUGCGCCUGGGGAGUACGGUCGCAAGACUGAAACUCAAAGGAAUUGACGGGGGCCCGCACAAGCGGUGGAACAUGUGGUUCAAUUCGACGCAACGCGAAGAACCUUACCUGGGCUUGAACCGCUACUGACCAACGGUAGAAAUAUCGUCUUCCCGCAAGGGACAGUAGUAGAGGUGCUGCAUGGCUGUCGUCAGCUCGUGCCGUGAGGUGUUGGGUUAAGUCCCGCAACGAGCGCAACCCUUACUCGUAGUUGCUACCCGCAAGGGAGAACUCUACGAGGACUGCUCCGGAUAACGGAGAGGAAGGUGGGGAUGACGUCAAGUCAGCACGGCCUUUAUGUCCAGGGCUACACACGUGUUACAAUGCACGGUACAGACUGUUGCGAACCCGCGAGGGGGAGCUAAUCGGAGAAAACCGUGCUCAGUUCGGAUUGCAGUCUGCAACUCGGCUGCAUGAAGCUGGAAUCGCUAGUAAUGGCGUAUCAGAUCGACGCCGUGAAUACGUUCCCGGGCCUUGUACACACCGCCCGUCACAUCACGAAAGUGAGCUGUACUAGAAGUCGCCGAGCCAACCGUAAGGAGGCCAGCGCCCAAGGUAUGGCCCAUGAUUGGGGUGAAGUCGUAACAAGGUAAC